AGGACGAACGCUGGCGGCGUGCUUAACACAUGCAAGUGGAGCGACGAACCAGGCUUCGGCCUGGGGCAGAGCCGCGAACGGGUGAGUAACACGUGGGUAACCUGCCUCGAUGACCGGGACAACCCGAGGAAACCCGGGCUAAUACCGGAUGUGCUCCUUCACAUCAGUGAAGACAGGAAAGGAAGCUUCGGCCUCCGCAUCGAGAUGGGCCCGCGGCCCAUUAGCUUGUUGGUGAGGUAACGGCUCACCAAGGCUGCGAUGGGUAGC
rnacentral:rRNA from 1 species